rnacentral:rRNA from 1 species
UACGGGGGGGGCAAGCGUUGUUCGGAAUUACUGGGCGUAAAGGGCUCGUAGGUGGCCAACUAAGUCAGACGUGAAAUCCCUCGGCUUAACCGGGGAACUGCAUCUGAUACUGGAUGGCUUGAGAUUGGGAGAGGGAUGCGGAAUUCCAGGUGUAGCGGUGGAAUGCGUAGAGAUCCGGAGGAACACCAGCGGCGAAGGCGGCAUCCUGGACUGGUCCUGACACUCAGGAGCGAAAGCGUGGGGAGCGAUCCGG